rnacentral:rRNA from 1 species
UUUUUGAUGGGAUCUGGUCAGUGGAAAAAAAAUUUUUUUUUUAAACACACGCCUUAGCGUGAGGGUGAUAAUGUAGCAUAAUAAUUUGGCAUUUAAUUGAUGUCUGGUAGGAAUGGUGAAACGAUUUUAUAACUGUCUCAAUUUAUUAAAGAAUAAAAUUUAAAAUUAUAGUUAAGAUGCUAUAAAUUAUUAAAAGACGAGAAGACCCCAUAAACCUUUACUAUAAAAUUUUUAUAUUUAUUAUAAAAAUUUUAUAAUAACAAAAAAUAUUUUGGUAGUUUGGCUGGGGCGGCAAUCUUCUAAAAAUAAAAACGAAGAUAAAAUGUAAUAAAAAAAAAAAUUUUUUUUUUUAUUUUUUAGUUUAAAAGAAAAUUUUAACAGAAAUAAAAAUUUUAAUAAUGACCUUUUUUUUUUUCUUUAAAAAAUCAUUAAUUUAUAAAAGGUACUUUGGGGAUAACAGCGUUAUCUAAAAAUAGAGAUGAAAUUAAUUUUUAGGUUUGCGACCUCGAUGUUGAAUUAGGAUAACCUAAAAAUGUAGAAGUUUUAAA